rnacentral:ncRNA from 1 species
ACGUGAUGUCGGAUCCCUCUCCUCCUCCCUGGGAUCUCGCAUAUGCGGCGGUGCCUCUCCUCCUCCCUGGCACCGCCGCGCAAGAAUUCAGGGCCAAACGGCCCACAGAUAUGUCUGGUCCCUCUC